AGAUGCUUCAAGGACCUAAAAAUACACCUGAAAGUUGAAAGAAAUGAGUGCUACAGCUUUCAGAACAUGGUAGCCCAAUUAAUCUUUUAAAUUUGCAUCUGUGAAUGGGACAUCUGGCAAAUGGGAAAUCUGUUGACUGGCUGGACCACAAGGAACUCCUAAGGAAAUGGGGAUUCCAACUUCCAAUCUUUUUACUGGUAUCACCUUGGGCAGGUGAAGGAAGAGAUAAUGGUUUGGUGUUGUGAAGGUUCAAAACAUGAAAGAGGAGAUCAUUGGAUGGCCACCUUUUCUGCUAGAGUAUGGGACCCAGUUGAGAGAGAGUACCAAGGCCACCUCAACCUUUGGUGCACAGAAGAUCCCCAAACCUAAAUUGGCUCCUAGGAGCACCAAGUUAUGAGAACACAUGUGAGAACAGAUAUGGAGAGGAGGAAGAUAGCUAUUGGUGAAGAAACCGAAGUCAGGAAACAUUAAGUGAUUGGCUAGGGCCAUAUAACCAGUAAGUACAGAGUUUGCAUUUGAGUUCUUCUCAAUUCCAAAUCUAUCCUAGCACAGAUUAGUUUAUAAUUCUUUUUUCUUCUAAAUUCUUAUAAUUCUUUAUAGCGUGUGGAUCCUAAGUUUUUACAUUCUUUUCUCCAAAU